rnacentral:rRNA from 1 species
UUGGAGGGCAAGUCUGGUGCCAGCAGCCGCGGUAAUUCCAGCUCCAAUAGCGUAUAUUAAAGUUGUUGCAGUUAAAAAGCUCGUAGUUGAAUUUCGGGAUCAAAUAAUCGGUCGUGCCUCCGGUACGUACUGGCUUUAUUGGUUCCUCCCUUCUGACGAACCAUGAUGUCAUUAAUUUGAUGUGGUGGAGAAUCAGGACUGUUACCUUGAAAAAAUUAGAGUGUUUAAAGCAGGCUAACGCUUGAAUACAUUAGCAUGGAAUAAUGAAAUAGGACGUUCGACCCUAUUUUGUUGGUUUCUAGGAUCGACGUAAUGAUUAAUAGGGAUAGUUGGGGGCAUUAGUAUUCAAUUGUCAGAGGUGAAAUUCUUGGAUUUAUUUAAGACUAACUACUGCGAAAGCAUUUGCCAAGGAUGUUUUCAUUAAUCAAGAACGAAAGUUAGGGGAUCGAAGACGAUCAGAUACCGUCGUAGUCUUAACCAUAAACUAUGCCGACUAGGGAUCGGAUGAUGUUAAUUUUUUAAUGACUCAUUCGGCGCCUUACGGGAAAC